UGGGGAAUAUUGCACAAUGGGCGCAAGCCUGAUGCAGCCAUGCCGCGUGUGUGAAGAAGGCCUUCGGGUUGUAAAGCACUUUCAGCGAGGAGGAAGGUGGUGAGCUUAAUACGCUCAUCAAUUGACGUUACUCGCAGAAGAAGCACCGGCUAACUCCGUGCCAGCAGCCGCGGUAAUACGGAGGGUGCAAGCGUUAAUCGGAAUUACUGGGCGUAAAGCGCACGCAGGCGGUUUGUUAAGUCAGAUGUGAAAUCCCCGGGCUCAACCUGGGAACUGCAUUUGAAACUGGCAAGCUAGAGUCUCGUAGAGGGGGGUAGAAUUCCAGGUGUAGCGGUGAAAUGCGUAGAGAUCUGGAGGAAUACCGGUGGCGAAGGCGGCCCCCUGGACGAAGACUGACGCUCAGGUGCGAAAGCGUGGGGCAGCAAACAGGAUUAGAUACCCUGGUAGUCCAGCGCUGUAAACGAUGUCGAUUUUGGAGGUUGUGCCCUUGAGGCGUGGCUUCCGGAGCUAACGCGUUAAAGUCGACCGCCUGGGGAGUACGGCCGCAAGGUUAAAACUUAAAGGAAUUGACGGGGUCAUAGCUGUUUCC
rnacentral:rRNA from 1 species